UACGGAGGAUGCAAGCGUUAUCCGGAAUGAUUGGGCGUAAAGCGUCCGCAGGUGGCUGUGUAAGUCUGCUGUCAAAGAGCAAAGCUCAACUUUGUAAAGGCAGUGGAAACUACACGGCUAGAGUGCGUUCGGGGCAGAGGGAAUUCCUGGUGUAGCGGUGAAAUGCGUAGAUAUCGGAAGGAACACCAGUGGCGAAAGCGGCUUCCUGGUCCAGCACCGACGUUCAGGCACGAAAGCGUGGGUAGCAAACAGG
rnacentral:rRNA from 1 species